rnacentral:siRNA from 1 species
UAGCCAUAUAGCCUAUUGUUGGAC